GGGGUCAAAAGUCUAAUUUGGCUUCAAAAUUAAAAAGAUUAUAUAAUAAGCAACAAGUCUACUAAGUUUCAAGUUGAUUGGACUUCAGCUUCAUCAAAAACUACCUUGACCAAAAACUUUAACCUGAACGGACGGACGCACAGACGGACGCACGGACGAACGGAGCCACAGACCAGAAAACAUAAUGCCCCUCUACUAUCGUAGGUGGGGCAUAAAAAA
rnacentral:lncRNA from 1 species